rnacentral:lncRNA from 1 species
UUUGAUUUGAUUUCAAAAUUAGAAAAUAGAGAAAAUCUUGAAAAAAAUUGUUUUAAAAUUUUUAGUUAGUUUAUUUACUCGAACUACGCAUGGUUUGAUUCUCAUAGGGCGUGAAAUACGUAGGCAACCCUCAUCGGGUCCACCUCCCCUUUACAAAAAUAAGCCAAAAAAAAGCAAAAAUUUUAAUGUUUGUCAUAAAUAAACCAGAUGAUGCUCUUGUUGUCAAAAAUAGCCAAAUGUACCCAAAUGGGACGCCGGAAGGCUGACUUUGCGUAAAUAGCCACAUUUGAUCAAGUUUUGAUUUUUGACCCUCACAACCUCAAAAUCUUCGUUCCCGAGGCGCUGAAAGGUCGUGUAUGCAACAUCGGGUCCUUUACAUUAAUUUAGAAAAAUAAGAAAAGUGUCGUAAAUAAAUCAGGUGAUGUCGUUUCUGUCAAAAAUAGCCAUAUAUUUCCAAACGGGGCACCGGAAGGCUGACUUUGCAUAAAUAACUACCUUUGGUUAUAUUUGAUUGUUGACCCUCACAGCCUUAAAAUCUUCGUCCCUGACUUGUUGGAAGGCCGUAUGUGUAAUAACAGAUCAUUUAUCUUAAUUUUGAAAAACAAGAAAAAGAGUCAGUGGUCAAGUGAAUACCGUUCGGAUUUUGAGUUAAAAUUGGCAUAUAAGGGAAGGAAUCUAUCAUUUUGUUUUUGGGUUUGUAUUUCUUUUUAUUAGAGUAUAUGGGUCGUUUGAUUUUCGAGACUGUAUUUCAUCGUCAAGUCGGUCAGUUUUGUUGUUAUUAUGAAAAUGGAAAUUUCCAAAAAUAUUUCAUUAUCGUUUACCUUUUAUUUGCAAGAACUGUGCACUGUCUGAUUCAUGCGGGUCAUGAUACGUAGGCAAUAUCCAUAAGAUUCGACCACAACAAAAAAAAAAUGGAAAAGAAAAUUGAAUAAAUAAAAAAUUGAAAAUAAACUGGAAAAGAUGUUAAUAAUGAGGACUGAGUCAAUCCAUUGGAAAAGUGGUUGGUUUGUGAUAACUCAUCUAUACAACACAAGGUCGAAAAACAAGACAGUCAUGGCCGGCAAAGGGUUGAACACAGGUAUUACUGAUCUGUGUAGGGGCAUUGUUGAAUCAGAAUCUGAGCUGAAAGAAGAGGUUUUGAG